UACGUAGGGUGCAAGCGCUAUCCGGAAUUAUUGGGCGUAAAGAGCUCGUAGGCGGUUUGUCGCGUCUGCCGUGAAAGUCCGGGGCUCAACUCCGGAUCUGCGGUGGGUACGGGCAGACUAGAGUGAUGUAGGGGAGACUGGAAUUCCUGGUGUAGCGGUGAAAUGCGCAGAUAUCAGGAGGAACACCGAUGGCGAAGGCAGGUCUCUGGGCAUUAACUGACGCUGAGGAGCGAAAGCAUGGGGAGCGAACAGG
rnacentral:rRNA from 1 species